AGCUGCGAUAGCUCAGUCAGUAGACCAUGAGGCUCUCAAUCUCAGGUUUAUGGGUUUGAGCCCCGCAUUGGCCA